UCCCCCAAAGGCCAUAAUACCACAACAUGAACUUUCCCUUACCGAAAGAAAAAAAAAACAAUACCAAUACGUACCUCUAAACAUGUAUAUUUCGGACUUUAAACCAAAAAUGUAUAGUUGGGACUAAGAAAAAAGUGUAAAGUUCUUAUUAGGAAUCUUUUCACUUUUGUUAAUAUUAAUAUAUGUAUGAUAUUUCUGACACAUUUUUUUUGUGCAAAUUACUAAUUGAUUAAUAUUUUAAAACAAAGUCAUUGAGAACAAAGUCUGUUUGGCUACAUAAUCUUGCCUCUUAUCAUUAACAGUUCUAGUUAUGUUUGUUGAUUAUUACUAACUUUUGUAUUUGUUAGAGCAACUCCAGUGCUCAGGUUCUAUAUGAGUAUCUAGUUCUUUACGAAAAUAAACAUAACCUGAAGACAUGGAAGAGAAUAUAGAGGAUGAAGAGUGUUAGAAAAUAGAAUAUAUCCGAGAUAUAUAUCAUCCUCUAUAGAUAAUUACCAAUUCUAGAUUUUUUCAUGUGAAUUUUUCCUUUUUGUAUUAGGAUUAGGGUUAGCUUAAAUUUAUAUAAAUGUAUUGACAUUAAUAUCCACUAAAUACAACUCUUUUAUCUGGCAAUUCCCAACUUCUCAGUCAAUUAGUAUUUAGCGUGCAAUAACAAUUACGCAGAGACUAUCAAAAUCUACUUGCACAUUACAUAUUUCAAACAAGAAAGUGAGAGGUUUGGAAACCUAAAAACGGACCUUCCGUGUUUCUCGAUUUGCUGGUGAAUCAACGACACCUUCAAUAACCGCCUUGCUAGUCAUUGAACCUUCGUCCCCCUGCAAAUGUCACACAACACCCAAACAUAUAUUCUACCUUGUUACAAAACCCAGAACAGUGAACAAAUAUAGUUAACUAAUGGUUCAGCCUCCUGCAAUAUCAAAUAGGCAGAGACAAAGUAACAAAUUAUGUAGAAUCAACUUAUCAAACAAAAUCAGUCUAUCAGGCAUACUUGGAUAACGAUCACGUUACGACGGGGGGAA